rnacentral:tRNA from 1 species
GGCCCUUUAGCUCAGUGGUUAGAGCAGACGACUCAUAAUCGCUUGGUCGCUGGUUCAAGUCCAGCAGGGGGCCACCA